rnacentral:snRNA from 1 species
AUAGCUUCUUGGCCUUUUGGCUAAGAUCAAAUGUAGUAUCUUUUCUUAUCAGUUUAAAGACCCUUUUGGAUAAUGUCAUAUGUAAGUGUUUAGACAAGGUUAGACUCAGUUAAUAUAU